GUUCUUCCAGAGAAGGAAGGUCCCGAAGCCCAGGAGGAUGAGCAGCACUGCAGGGCGAGGUGGCCCAGCCCGGUCAGCAGGUGGCCCCAGAGCCCUACGUCCCCAAGUGAUGCCGCCUGCAGACUCCUGGCUUCGGACUUCUCCCGCUGUGACUGGCUCGCCCCGGAAAUACCCGACCGCAGUCGAUUCUUCCAGGUGCUUCUGAGUCAUGGGGCUCUUUCAGAAAUGGGACUGUUCUCUAUGGACACGGCCAAACUCAUUCUCUUCUCCAUCUGGGUGCUCUCUGCCUCGUUUAUGAGGGGACCCCUGGGUGGUGCACCAUGCCCCUCCCAGAUCCAGGGGACAACCAAGGGCUCACCUAGCCAGGUUUGUAAAAAAACAAAAACAAAAACAAAAACAAAACCUGGCCACUGCCCAGGGCGUGGGACAGCUUCAGGCUCUGCUGGGAGGACACAGGGUGGGGGCCUUGUUCGGGAGGCAAGGGUCCCACUGCCACCUGUCAACUCAGAGCCAGACGGCCACUGGGCACUAAAGUGCAGGUCCUGUGAGUGGGCUGGGGGUGGGGAAGGGACACCUCGGAAGGAUUUCCUUAGAAAAGGAAAAUCAGGUGUGAUGCUAACGGAGUUACAAUGGACAGGGAUGGGAGGGUGUAGAACCCCCCAAACUCCCCCUACAAGAGCACUGUUUGCCAGGAGGCGCCCCUCCGGUGGCGGGAGGCCUUCUCUGCAGCCCCCUUCCUGCAGCUGACCCAGCGGCGGGGACAGCUGCAGCCCCACGGCCCAGAAGUGGCCUUACAGCAGGCGCUCGACCGGAUUUGUUGAGUGAAUGGAGCUACAAAGGGGGCCGCAGUGAUGAACAGGGCACGUGGGCGGGGGGCGCCCCCAUCCUGGGCAUACAGGUGGACCGGACCGGCUGGCUGGGCAGGGUGGUCCUCCGGCGGGGAGCCGGGAAGUGGGGCGGGCCCGAUGGGCUUACCGAUGGGGAGGAUGACGUACAGGGCCCCCACGCUCCUCGGUCUCUCCUCGUCUCCUCUGCUGGCAGCAUCGCCCAGGGCUGCUCGGGAGAGGGGAGAAAGUGAGGUUCGGAUCCACAGCGAGGGCCACGGAAAACGCGGCACGUGUGCGGCCGCCGACACGCGCGAGAAAAACGCCUGGUGCUGCUCGGCGUCCUUAAAAGCUCAAAGCAACUCGGAGGGACUCCCGGGUUUGGGAGGCACCACGCUGGGGCCUUAUUCAUUAGCAGGCACGGUUAUGGAGCAGAUUUAAGAGGGCCCUUCAGCCAAGCGUUACGAGGCUCUGGGAAAGGGGCCAACGGUCUGGCAGGCAAAAGCCUGCAGGUACGUUCUCAACAGUUGGUGAGGUCGCUGGUGGAAUUUUUCACCCCGGGUCUGCAUUUGAUGGAAAUGAGACCGUUCUGGGUGGGGCAGCGGCCACCACGUGACUCCAUACCGUGCAGCAACCCCAGUGCCUGGCUUGGAUCGCGCCGAAGCGCCCUAGUCCUGUCUCAACUGUCCCCAGUUAAUAAAUAUUGGGGGAGACCUCGUUACGCAACCAUGAAUGUGCACCUGAGCCCUGUAAGGGCCCCGUGCAAAUCAAAGUUUAAAGUCCUUCAAGCAGGCAAACAGGCUGGGAAGACUGAAAGACCACACCUGGGUCACAUGUACGUAGGUCACCAGUUAAAGUCAACCCCACCUGGGUGCAUGGAAUUUCUACUUUGACAUCGGCUCAGGUUUGAGAAAACUUUUAACAAAAAUAAGGUGGGGUGCCCGGGUGGCUCAGUCGGUUAAGCAUCUGACUCUUGAUCUCGGCUCAGGUCAUGGCCUCAUGGUUCAUGAGACUGAGCACAGAGCCUGCCUGGGAUUCUCUCUCCUUCUCUCUUUGCACCUCCCCCUCCCUCAAAAUAAAUAAAUAAAUAAACAUUAAAAUAAAUAAAUAAAUAAGGCAGCAGCAAGAUCUUUGAGAAGUUUUUCCCCUUAAAAGGACUCAUUCACCAAAAUCGAGACGCCCUAGACAGGCCUGUUUGUGAAAUGGGUUUUCAAGCAGGGGCACCCCCAAGCAAAAAGGUUUCCCGGCCUCCCUUGACCACAGCAGUCCCCGCUUUACCUUGUUUAUGGUUGCACAGGGGCUUUAGCUACUCUGAGUGGGGGAAAAUGUCUGAAACUUGCUGAUGCGCCCCUUUUUUUUCUGGUCAAAAAAAAUUCUAGGGGCUCCAUUUUCUAGCUGAUCGAACUCCAGGACAGGGGCCCUCUGGUGGCCGAAGAGAUGAAUGGCAAGUCUUCCACUGAUUUCACUGAGAGCCCAGCUCUGACCUUGAGACUGGUAGGGUGAGGACAGCGAGGCCCUCCCACAAGCAAAAACUUAGAGCCUCCUCCCUGCCUCCCACCAAAAAGACUUUAGUAAUCAAGUAACAUCCUAAUGUGUGUGGUGUUUUUUGGUUUUUGUUUAAUAAAAAUUAAGGCCAAGA